rnacentral:misc_RNA from 1 species
AAGAGUUGCAAAACUCCCACAACCAUCUGCUGAACGUACCACAUGCAGUUGCUUCGGCGGGCGCCCCUCCGGGAGCCGACCGGCCCGGCCGGACUGCCGUACAACUCUUAUUAGAACCAUUACCAUCUGAUUACUAUACUUAAUAAGUAA